rnacentral:misc_RNA from 1 species
GCAGAGAGAGGGAGUGUGUUGAGGUGUCUGUGGUCUAUAGGCAUUAAUGGCGGAGACUAAAAAGGAAAAUAAAUCGAGCGAAGAGAGCGUUAAGCUGUUUGUAGGUCAAGUGCCCAAGCACAUGACGGAAGCUCAGCUUCUUGCAAUGUUCAAAGAGUUCGCUUUGGUCGACGAGGUCAACAUCAUCAAAGACAAGACUACGCGCGCCUCCAGAGGGUGUUGUUUUGUUAUAUGCCCCUCGCGUCAGGAAGCGGAUAAGGCCAUUAAUGCUUGCCAUAACAAGAAAACGUUGCCUGGGGUUAGUGCAAAUUUCAGCUUUGUUACUUGUUUUGUACAUUUUGUUCUCGAGUAUCUGGCACAUUGUAGAUUAAAGUUGAUUGGAAUUUUAGCCAUUACACUGUUAAUUACCGAUCUCGGCAUUUUAUUAAGAAAUAAUUAUUGAGUAGUCUCUGAAAGUGGCUGUUUAUGACAAUUUCCUAAUGUAGUUUAGCAGUGAGGUAGUGUAAAUUACUUGGGUUGGAAUUAUUUCUGCAAUUUUUGAUAUGUAGCUGCUCCUUAUUUAAUGCAUGGCAUAACAUGAUAAAUUAGCGACUUUGGUAAUUGUUAAGUUAGUUGGCAAUUACAAAGUCAAUAAUGCUGUUAAAAAAGUCUUUAAGCCUCCACAUGGCAAAUAUGAAGCUUGUAAUGUGCAAUUUGGUAAAGAACUUACUAGAAUAUCUCGGUCACUCUUGCACCUAUCUGUGUGGCACACGCGAAACAGUGCAGUUUUAGGAUGUAUAGAACAGUUAAUUACUGUGAGGUUCAGGGUGCUCAUUUCCCAUUCACAAGGGUAGGUUUGCUAAUUGCAUGGCAAAAGAUUUUGUUAAAGGAGCCGCAAUAUUAGAAUUUUGAUUUGACAAAAUGCAUAUCAUGAUUAGCACAUAGAAAAACACAUUUUGAUAGAUGUGGUGUUUGGAAUGGUAAUUUUUAUAAUCAGGGUGCAGCCUAUCAAAACAGAUGACAAUUGAAAGAGAAGCAGGUGAAACUUUUUGCUCAAAAUGAAGCUAGAUUCCAUUCAUGAUUAAUUAAUACAAAACGAAAAAACAGCCUACUAAAACUCUUUCCAUGGGAAUAAGUUCUGAUGGAAUUGUAGAAUUAUUUGGACACUUUAAGUACUUUAAAUUUGUUUUUAAUGCUAAUGACUACAAAGACAAGGUUACAAUUUCAAUGAAGAAGAGAUGGACCUUUCUUAGUUUAUGAACAUAUUGUGGUCUAAUAUUUGCAGUUUGAAGUCAUCUAGAAUUAGCUUAGGUGGUCAGCAGGAUGAGGCAUUUGGUAGAUACUAUAGGUUCAAAUUAUAGUGAUCUCCUCUUGCAUCAAAAGAGGGGAUAGUAAGAAAAGAUCCUUAAUUGAACUGCAAAAGUCAAUAUUAAUGCAUGAUUUGUCCACAACUACUGUCAUAGAUGCACUCUUAAGCAAUUUGGUACUUUGUUGACCUAGGUAGUACAGUGAAUCAAGCAGCUCAUAUGAGCCAGUUUACUUUUUAACCAGCUGUCAUCAAGAGUUAAUUCAUAAUGCAAUCUCUUUCCAAAGGGCAUAAGGGGGGUUUUAAAUCCACUUAAUUGGAUUAUCUAAUAAAUCAUAUAUAUUGCCCUAUAUCAGUGCCAACUUAUGUUUCUUACUAUUAUUACUCUGAUGCAUCCAUUUCUUUGUCUAUCUAAUUGAAAUGCACCCUAUUCUUUCUGUCCAAUUCAGGCAUCUAGCCCGUUGCAAGUGAAGUAUGCAGAUGGCGAGUUGGAAAGGCUAGGUGUAAUAUAAUUUCAUUGACUGUUUCAUGUAGUUUUCUUUAAGAUGAUUGCUGUAAAUUGCUGCAGUCAAUAUUCUUAUUCCUUAUCUCAUGCUGCUUUUGUAUUCAUUGUUUUGAUCUCUUUGAUUUUGUAUGUUAUGCUUAUUGCAUUUUUGAAUGAUUUUAUACUCUCCUUGCAAUCCAGAACACAAACUCUUUGUUGGUAUGCUUCCAAAAAAUGUUUCUGAAGCCGAGGUAUCUGAGUUAUUCUCUAAAUAUGGAACUAUAAAGGAUUUACAAAUUCUAAGAGGUUCUCAGCAGACAAGCAAAGGGUGUGCUUUUUUGAAGUAUGAGACUAAAGAACAAGCCCUUGCUGCCGUGGCGGCUGUCAAUGGAAAGCAUAAAAUGGAGGGUUCAAGUGUUCCUUUGGUCGUCAAAUGGGCAGAUACAGAAAAGGAAAGGCAGGCUCGGAGGGCUCAGAAGGCACAGUCUCAGGCCUCUAGUCUGCCAAAUGCUGAUUCACCACAUCCUUCAUUGUUUGGAGCCUUGCCAAUGGGGUAUGUUCCCCCUUAUAAUGGAUAUGGAUACCAGGUAAGUUUGCUGCCUCCAAUUUGUUGGCAAAUGGUUCAAACAUUUGCAACACCUAACAAUUGUUUUGGACUUAUCAGUACCUUUUCUUUAUCACUGUCCCAACUUCGAAUAUCUGGAAUCUUGAUUGCUUCUUUUCCUUUUUCCUUCUCGAUCAAACUUCCUUUCAUUUUUUAAAACCAAAUUGGAGUUCAGACUGUGGUUAUGUUGUCCUUGCAGGCUCCUGGAACUUAUGGAAUUAUGCCAUACCGAUUGCCCCCUUUGCAGAAUCAGCCUGCUUUUCAUGGUAUGAUUCCUCCAGUAAAUCAAGGAAAUGCAUUGCAUGGUGGAAUCAGACCUCAUCUUGCCUCCGGUAUGGGCCCUAGAAAUUAUGCAGUCCCUCCUGCAAGUUAUGUUGGCUCUGCUUACGCUGCAGUGCCAGGUGUUCAGUAUCCCAUGGCAUAUCCUGGAGGAAUGAUGAGCCACCAGCCUUUAAGUGGGUCGCCUAGUACUGUACCAGCUGCAGUUACAAGCAGUAAUUCUGCAACAUCUUCAGGUGUCAGUUCAAGUUCUGGGGGUCAAUUAGAAGGUCCACCUGGUGCUAAUCUUUUUAUAUAUCACAUACCUCAAGAAUAUGGUGACCAAGAACUUGCUAAUGCUUUUCAACCAUAUGGUAAAGUCUUAAGUGCUAAGAUCUUUGUAGAUAAAGCAACUGGCGUUAGCAAAUGUUUUGGAUUUGUUAGUUAUGACUCACCAGCAGCAGCACAAACUGCUAUUAAUACGAUGAAUGGAUGCCAAUUAGGUGGUAAGAAAUUGAAAGUUCAGCUUAAGAGGGACAAUAAACUGAGUAAACCUUAUUGAUCAUAAGGUGAGUCAUGGAAGCAAGCAGAAUUCUAUGUGAUACGUGGUCACAUGCAACCUGGAUAUAGGGGAGUGACUGCAGUAUAAGCACUUUGGGAUGGAUUGAUAAUCUGUGGUUAUGUGCAUAUUCCAUCCAUGUAAUUGCUUCAUGGGAUUGAAAUUCCCAAAACUUGUAAUUCACGGUGCAUUCUGCGCCCAUACAAUUUGUAAUUUGUGUACCAUGGAAAUUCUUUAGAGAUCAAUUAUUAAUUUUUUGAUUUUUCCCUCAAGAUCCUCUGUUAAUAUGAUGUUGGUGGAAACAUCUUUGAUUCUUGGUCAUCCCCACACCCCCUCCUCUCUCCCCAUUUUUAUUGUUCAGACUUCAAAGAGUUUU